rnacentral:piRNA from 1 species
UGACAGAAAUGUUCUCCCACACGUGCAUU